AAGAAGACACAUGGAAAAGACAAACAACCAUGCGAAGACGGAGGCAGAGAUUGAAGUGAUCUAGGGACAAGCCAAGGAAUGCCAAAGAUUGCUGGCAAUCACAAGAAACUGGAAAAGACAAGGAAGGUUCCUUCCUCCCCUCGAGUCUUCAGAGCAAAAGCAUGGCUUUGAUUUCAGACUUCCAGCCUCCAGAACUGUACAGGCCAAUAUCCUACACUCCUCCAGCAGAAGUGCUCUGAAAGAAGAAAGUUGCUAAAGCCAGCACAAACGAAAGCUCAAUAUCUGAGGACAGAGAACAAAGGCAUCGAAGUGUGUGGAGCCAGUGUCCGUAACAACACCACUCUCGCUCUGAAGGUCACUCUUGGAUGCCACAUCUUUUCUGGGUCUCCAGGGACCGUGAGGGGCUGAUGGCCUGGCUGGACAGCCAAGAACUCCCCUGUUAUGGAAGAGAUGUCUGGCCCACUUCCCUGUACAGACUCCUGGCCACACAGCACUUAGACACCAGCAGCUGCUCCAGUUUUCCUGAGGCUCUAAGGAGACCUGUCUACCCAAUUUACGAGCUCUUCAAGCUGCAAAAGGCCUCCCCAGACAAGGCUCAAGAACAUAAAUAUCUCCAAAGAUAGGCAAUUCAAGCCCUCUCGGCCUCAGUUGCCAUCUUCCUGGAAACCUCUGCGCCAUGAGAGCCAAGUGGAGGAAGAAGCAAAAGCACAGGCUAAGGAGAAAAAAAGGAAAGAUGGGACACAGGUCCAAGUAAACCACUAGCUUAUGCACCCACGGAAGCCACAGGAGCAGAAAUAAGGAAAGCCAGAGGCCAGGGACACGGGACCUCAGAAGAAAAAAAGGAGCCUCAUGAAAGAAUGCUAAGGUUUCUUUGGGAAACCCAACAGACAAAACUCCAUACCGAGAGAUUAAGGAUUCUUAACCCAGGGUCCAGGAACAGGCUCAGGAAUCCAACAGGCCCUGACACCUGUUUCCUAAAUGAAUCAGUGAACGCAUGAACUAGUUUACAAGACCUGGGUAUCGUCUCCAGCCAUCAAAAAAGAGACUUAAAUUGCUUCCAACCCCAGCAGCAGGCAGCUGGACUCACUGGGGAAUCAGACCCUGGAAGAGGAAGCCUAAAUGCCUCUGAGGCCUCACAGCAAAAAGCCUGACCGAUGUUGAAAACAGAGGUGGUUCUGCAUAGUGGUAUACACUCGAGAGCUCUUAAGCCACUCCCAGGUCCUCAUCCCAGCUCCCCUCAUUUACCUGCUCUGUCACCUCAGGCACAUCCUUUACCCUCUCUGAACCUACUUCCGUAUCUGUGCUGAGACAAUGAGAAACAAAGACAAGAAAUUUUAAGAAAAAAAAUCAGGCACCAAUGACCCAAAUGCCGCCUCAAGAUUUUGUCUCAUGCCUGCAAAUGGAAUCAGGGAUGUUCUCCUAUGGCCCUAAAUACACAAAUGAGAGAUGUGACCUCCUGUUUGCUGGUCCUGAGGACUGCCACAAAAUCAAGCAUCCGGUCCCCACAGGAACGUGGAGCUACUACAACCACAGGGGUUAUCUCAUUAUUUCAGAAUCAUUUCCUAAUUCCUACCAAGCUGGGAGCUUCCAAAGAGCAGGCUGUGGGGUCUCAGACUUUUCCACACCUGAAUAUUACAUCAUCUGACAUGUUUGAGACUCACAACAGACUCCCCAGACAAAACUGAACCUCUAGGAGGUAAAGAAGCACUUCCCAAUAAAGACCCCAGCAGAAACAUUUGUUCCCCAUCAUAUGCCCAGUGUGAAACCCCCAGAAGUCACCGAGGAUGAAAGUCAAGGGAAGGAGGGAAGAAGGCUUUUUGCAGUGAGAAAAAAAAAAAAAAAAAAAAUAGGGAAUCUAAAAAUCCUGGCGAUUGCAAGAGAAAGAAACAGUGCAAACCCUAAAGGAGACAGACCGAUCGUAUUUUUCUAUCCUGUGAUGAGACAGAAACCAUGAAUGAGGCUCAGCAGACUUUGCAUCCAGGAAGCCCCUCAGCAGUAACAGCUCAGAGGCAGGGACAGAGGGAAGAUGGGUGUUCCUCCAGAUUGCUCCUGGGGGCUCACUGUCACAGCUAGAGGCAACUUCAGGCGGGCACCUAUGAGUCAAGAUUCAAGGACUGAGCCAUUUGGGGGGUGAUGUCCCUUUAAAUAAAGGAAGUAAGGCAGGGCUCCGCAGCUGUGGCUAUAAACGCUCUCUCCCAGCCUCUGUCAGAACCACCCACUGCUCUGGCAAGCUUGUGUCUCCAGCCCUGGUCACCCCUCCCGCUGGCUCAAAGCUGGCCUCAGAUUUUGAGGACUGGCUGCACCUCGCGGGCCUGCUCCCAUAUAGACAAAAACCAACCCCUAGGUGCAGCAGAGGGGUGAGGAUAGGGGGAUCAGCUGGUGGCCACAGAGAAAUAAAACAACCAGGAUUAUUUGCUCCGUGGGGGUCCUGUCUCAGCAACCAUGACUGGACUGGAUUCUCCUCACACCUAAACGGUCACCAGCGAGACCUGGAGGCCACCAGUGGGACUCUUUGGGGGGGGGGGUGUCACAAUUUCAUUUUCUUGGACCCUGUAUUCCAAAUGGAAGGUCAACAAGGAUGGCUUCCCCUUCCUAAGGGGUCUCUAGGAAUCUAUCCGACACUUUGGUUCAAAAGAAUUCCAGAAACCCAGGGACUCUCAGGGGCCACACUGAAAAAAUUCUUCCUGCCCAGCUGAGCAGUGGAGGCGGCCAGUCCGCAUUUCACUCACCAAU